ensembl:lncRNA
UUGUAGAAAAAUGUUCAGUGGCCAUAAACUACAUAGGUCGCUCCAAAAGUAAUAUCUUCUUAUUUCCUUGGAAACUACAACAGCUGCAAAGAGCAUAGUAGCACUAUCUUAUAGAGAAAAUUCUCAGCUACAAAGCUCUGGUUUUCAAUGUAGUCAUCACCACCAUAACUGUGCAUUUUCACCAGCUGUGAACAAAUACCUGCAUGCUGUGCUUGUAAAAAUCUGCACCUAUGGAGGUGACCCGCUGUUGCCACUGCUGAAACGCACAACCUACCACCUCCCAACCACUGUUUGCUUUCCAUAAAUGUUCAGCAAGUGGCAAUGAAUGUGGGUGGGUGCCAUUUUUUUUUCCACAUGGAGGAGUUUGACAGCACAACGUUGUGUCAUCUGCACUUCCAUGUCAGACGCCAUUUUGCCAGACUGCCCACCUGCUGCCAUCUGUCACACAGCAACAACACAGAAGAGGAUAUUGGUGGGAUGGUUCAUCCUCUACUGCCAUACCAAUAAAAUCCUCCUCUGAUGUUGUGGGCCAACAUAAUAAAAUGGGAGCAGCCCUCAUAUUUAUAGUAGUCCUGGCAGAUGCAGCUGUGGUGGCUCUUUCACACCAGCAGCAGCUUUAAUUUUUGUAGUGAAAAAAAAUUGAAGUUUUCAUGGAAGUCUAAAGAAUGCUAAUGCUAUAAUAUAUGUUUGCCUGUUUCAGAGUACAGCUGCAUCUUGACAAAUGUCAAGAAAUACAAAAAGCUGUUGCUGGGUUACAGACAUAUCAGGAUAGAAUUGCCAGCUUCUGUGCUCUGAGUAUUUCUAGGGGUCCUCAGAAUCUGCAUCAGCUUGUCCCACAGGAGUGACUAGUACAUGAGACUAUACUGGGAGAGACCAUCUCCAAACAGAAAGGGGAGGAAUUUUCUAAGAGCCUGUCCAAAGCAUGAAACUGAUUUAUUCAGACUUGAACUGUCUUUCUCUCAGGUAGCAGUAAGUACGUUCUUGAUAAAAAAAAGUAAAGGGGAAAUCCUAUUUUAGCCAAGUAUGAAAGUCUCCUUAUGAUCACAGACACUUAAAGAGGAGGAAGAGAAUGCAGUCAAGGAUGUGAUGGUCCCUCAUAAAUGGCAUCCUAGAAGGUUUGUGAGAAUUGUAUCAAUUCUAAACAGUUACUGUGACUGCUCAGCUAUUUCAGACAAAUUUUUCAACAUCACGUUCAUUAAAUGCUUAUGCAUAUACUGCAACACACAAAUGUAUUAAAAACAAGAAUAAAAAAGUGUUUUCCACACAAAAGUGGAAAAAACAAAUGGGAUAGUUUGCUAGCAGUUGAGUUACACAGGUUAGCAAGACAGUGCACCUGCUGCAACCUGAAAAGAAUUUAAUUGUUCAUAAAUAACUUAAAGACCUUGUUUGACAAUAUGGUGCUAAAGAUCAAAGUGUUUGUCAUGGUUGUGUAAUUUUGCUAUUGGUAUUCCACAUCAUAACAUCAUGGACAAAAGAGAAGAAGAACUACGUAUCCUAGAGGACCUUACGGUCAGAGAAGGAAGAUACAUCACAGAAGAUACGUCAUCUGGUUGCACGUGGUCUUUUUCACUUUCGCUUGCUGCCGGGAGAGGAGUGGCUGUGCUUCCAAGCUGUGCGCCUUCAUCAAGUAGGGCUUUCGGUUUCGGAAACCCUCUCACUCUCUCUCUCCCUCUCUAUCGCUCUUUUGCUCUCUCUCAUUUUGUUUGAUUUAUCAUCCUUACUUUCAAUUAGAUUGUAUUAUAUCGUGUCAUCUUGCAUUCCAACAUCAUAGUAAAAUAAGUUCUCCUUC